GUACAUCAAACAUACAACAGAUAUGCCUUCACACCAGGUUUAUAAUCAUGGUUCAGAACUGACUUUGUAUUUUUUGAAUACACAAGAAUCUGGUCAGCUGACAUGCACAGCACAAAAUGAAUUCGGUGAAGACCACAUUUCCGUUUCCGUGAUCGUAAGAAGUCGUAAGUACAGACCAUGUUUUCUUUACGUUUUAAGCUAAGUUCGGAAUUAAAUCUAUUAUUAAACGUAUAAAUUUGCAUAUCAGCAGUAACAAAAUAACCUCAACACGUCACGAAAACCAAAAAGAGAAACCGUAAAGAAUUAUUUAAAUCAGAAGCUUGACAUCACACAGAUUAUGCUUAAUAACCUUUUUAUUACUCAAAACCAAACCAGAUCAUCAGUUGAUCAAUUAAAGCGAUACGAGGAUCUGUAUUUCAAUUAGACAAAUGCGACAAUUUAAUAGUAAUUUCAUUUUCUUUUAGCGGAUCCGGUUGGUUAACAGAAGAAGAAGUUGCAACAUAUUGAAUUAAAUACCAAUAAAG
rnacentral:lncRNA from 1 species